rnacentral:lncRNA from 1 species
GGUGGAGGUGGCGGUGGCGAUGCCGAGUGCCGAGCCGCGUCUAGGGCGCCGGUCCGGGGCUCGAGCUAGCUGCUGCGCGGCCCCGAAUGGUGGUGCGCCGCGACGGUUUGGCGGAUGGAUGGGUGGGUGUGCGCCGAGUUGAUUUGGACUUCGGAAACAGGCUUCUUCGUGGGGAAGAAACGAGUCUGUUCGAGCGCGUGGAGGAUGAGAG